UAAUUGUUUUUAUCUUUAUUAUGAAUCAUGUAAUGGAUUAUAAAUGUAUGGUAUAAUAAAUAACAUCCAACAGUUAUAUAGCAAAACAACAAUCAAAACAAAGAAAUGUUAGAAAAGAUAGAACAAUAAUUUAAAUACUCAUUUGUAAAAACAAUUAAAUCACUGCAUACACAUUGAUGAAUACCUGGUAUCAGAUGAAUGAUGUAUUGUAAAACAGGGUUGUUACUGUUGAUAUGUUGUAUGCAUACAUAAUAGUACUCAGUUUUACAUUGUCUUGUGUAUUUCAAUAAAAAGAGCAAUUCAUCACCAAUUCCUUCAUCCAAAAAAAAAAAAAAAAUUGUUACAAAAAAUUGAUACUUUUAAAAGGUAUAUAGAAAUAACAAGUGAAACUGCGAGCUACUGCUCACUGAUGAUACCCCUGCCGCAAGUGGAUAAUAUAAUAGUGUAAAAAUAUGCAAGUGUUC
rnacentral:lncRNA from 1 species